rfam:Corynebacterium sp. KPL1989 genomic scaffold addTB-supercont1.3, whole genome shotgun sequence.
ACCUGGGUGCGAUCUUCGGUGUUUUGCACUGCGUGGUGUGACUGACCUCUGUCAUGUAGUGGGGAACGUCGCCGUAAGCAGUGGCCCGAAGAACCGGCCCAGUUACAAACCUUAGGGA